CUCCUCCUCCUCCUCCUCCUCCUCCUCCUCCUCCUCCUUCUUCUUCUUUCUUGGCACUUCCUGUUUCCUUCAUCUCUUAAUGGUUCUGCUAACCAUCACUUUUACUGCCAAUCCUGCCAUGUGCGCUGGUAAGUGCUAGGAUAAGGAACAAAUAAUGUAGCCCCUUCUGUAAGGAGUUCAUUUACAGAGACAGUCAAAUGAUUUCUGCAUGGCAUGUUUGUGUCCACGACAGAGAUGGGCACAGCCUAGUCUCAGAGCAGGGUAUAGGCAUCUAGCACAGCCCAGGAGAGGAGCAGUGAUGGUUCAAUACAGUUCUCAGGGUACUCACGAAAUGCAUGGUGAAGAAUGAUUAAGAAUUAGAAAAACAAGCAAGAAGGUAAGGAUGCUUCCAGCAGAGGAAACAGUAAAACCGGAAGAAGUGAAUUAGUGUGGGUGGGUGAACUAGGCAUACAGAGUGGUGAAACUCUUAGAGGGGCUUCUAAAUAGAGCAGCUGGGGGGCACUGUAGGUCCUGUCAAGGAAUUUGUAUGUAUUUCAGCUGCUGGGGAAAUAUUGGUGAGUUUUAAUAGGGGAAGAUGCUAUCAAAUUAUAAGUUUGUUACAUCCUCAAGUCUAUUGGAGAAGACUGGACACAGGGAAAGCAAUUUAGAAGCUGUGCUGGUAAUCCAGAUGCAAAAUUGAUGGAGCUAUGAAGUGGACAUACGGGAGAGGAUGCCUACAAUGGAGGUGAUGUUCUCAUUCAGAAGAGCAGGCUCAAGGCAGUUAACAGUGGUCAUGUGGAAGUGUCUUUGAGAGGUCCACCUGAGGCAGCCCCCCAGGGCAACAACAGAAAGCUCAGAGGAAGCAAAUAGGCACACAUACUUGGUAUUCAGGACAGUGUAUUUGAAGAAAACAGCACUGUGCCAUUGAAUCUGAAUACUAUGUGUGAUUUCUAAGCCAAUCUCUUCCUGUCUUCUAGUGUUCCCAUCUCUUUCAUUUGUCCAGAAUUUCCGUAUGUGUAUCUGGACAUUCCCUCAGAAAUAUGCAGAAGACUAAGUUGUUCUCAUGAGAGACUCUAACAAGAUUUCAUCAAUCUUACCGAUAAAGGGAAACUGACUAGGUUUCUCAAGUCAACUUUCCCCCAAUAGGGGCAAAUGUGUUGUCAAUUCCUGUGCUCCCAAAUCAUGACAUCAACAGACUCACAGAAACAGUAUUUUGGUAGGCUAGACUGUGCACAGUUAUUUAUUUCAAUCCUUAUUGUAAUACAUGCUAUUAUUACUGAUACCUCUCCUGUUCACUCUUUGGGGUUGAUCAGGUGACUUACCCUCCAUCAUGCUCCCCCCUGACCCUACCCUAUUUUCCACUUUUUUUUUUGAAUGUUAGAUUCUUGGCAGUAUUGAAACAUACUUUAUUUGUGGAUUUGACCCAUUUAAAAGUUCCAGAGAAAAAUAACUUUCCCCAAACAUACACUGACUUUCUGAAGCCCUGAGGCUAUAGGGAAAGUGCCCCAAUCCUUAUUUCUGAAAGGUAUGUUCCAAUUGGUCUGAGCCAGCUGUAACAACCACCUUCUCUUUAACAAGGAUUGGUUAAGAAUGCUUAUGGGGGGCUGGAGAGAUGGCUCAUCACUUAGAGUUCUGGCUGCUCUUCCAGAGGACCUGGGUUCAAUUCCCAGCACCCACAUGGCAGCUUACAACUGUCUAUAACUUGAGAAUUCAACCCUCACACAGACAUACAUACAGGCAAAACACCAAUAAAGUAAAAGUAAAUAAUUUUUAAAAAUGCUUGCGUGAUCUAGUUCUAAAUAAAGGCAAUCUGAUGGGGAAUGGGUAGACUUCCUUGCUGUUAAAGCGGUAAUAAUUUUACACUUCUGAGCAUAGUUGCUCUGGAUGGUAGGGGGUGGGGAGUGGUGAUAUUCAGCUUGAUAGUCAUCAGUACUGCUUACUGGGUGUCUCUGCUCUGCCCUUCAGGCAUAUAGUGGAAUUGCAACCCAUGGGCUUCCUGUAAAAAGCAGGUGUCCUGCUUGGUUUUUUUGGUAAUGACACAAGCUAGAGUCAUCUAGAGGGAACCACACUGAGCAAAGCCUUUGGAGCAUUUUAUUAAUCAGUGAUUGACCUGGAAGGCCCAGCCCAUGGUGGGUGGUGCCACCCUGGGCAGACAGUCCUGGGGUGUAUGAAAAAGCAGACUAUGCAAGAAGUGGGGAACAAGCCUGUGAGCAGCAGCCUCCCGCCCAUGACCUCUGCUUCAGUUCCUGCCCUGACUUCCUUUGAUGAUGGACUGUGAUAUAGAAGUGUAAGAUAAAAUAAACCCUUUCCUCCCCAAGUUGCUUUUAGACAUGGUAUGCUUUUCAUAGCAAUAAUAGCCCUAACUAAGACAGGGAGAUAAGUGGACAUGUAGUGUUCAUUCAGUGAGUUGCGAGCAGGAAUUGUGUGUGGUGUUUCAGAAGCAUCCAAUUGCAGUGGCAUCCCCAUCCCACACUUCUUGUUUCCUUCUGAGGCUGGGAUAAGGAAGCUUCACUGUGAGAAUGGUUUUCGUACCCAGGGUUGGCGCCCAACGUCCGGCCACAUAUAUCAACAUAAGGCCUGAGAAAGCCAAAAAAAAAAAAAAGUCUGACCAAGCAGUUUCCUGGUGCUGCAUCCUGGCUUCCGAAGUCUCAGGUAGGCUGGGGGUACAGACAUGGCUCUUUUAAGAGGCCCUGCUGUGCAAUUGAGCACUUGAGCAGCUGGCACUGGGCACAACUGCCUGCCACAGGCAGACACAACAUUCCCAGAGCUGGAGCAGGUAAAUGUGGCUCUGGGAUCAGUACCUGCCUGCAUGAGGUUAGACUCUGACAGAACCAAGUGGGGCGGAGCCAGUCACCAGCAUGACAUGUAAUAAGUGGAUCCCCAUAGCAAUAGUCUAGCAGUUUAAUUUUGACUCAUGUGGUCAGAGGAGGCUGCAGACAUGCAGGAAGUCAGAUCCCGACCAAGAAAACCUCUGAACAGCUAUAAUACGUUUUAAAAUGUGCUUUGAUGCUGGAGAAAGAAAAGAAAAUGGGUAUAGACAGUCAUAGGAAAAAAUAAAUAGUUUAAAAAUAAUAAAGUAAUAUCUUUAAGGACAGAAUAAAGUAAUAUAAAAAGAAAAAAGCCAUGUAAAGGUGGGAAAUACACAGGACAUCUGGAUCUUGUAUGGUGUUUGGCUGACUUUGAAUUUCUUGGAUGCUGAUGAGCAAAUGGCAGCUGCUGAGAGACACUGGAUUAUGGAACGAACUGCUGAAUUAAAUCAGCCUAUAUACUUUAGAAAUCUCUUGACUUUGAAAUGGAUGUUGGGAAAUGUGUUGUGUUGGGGGAGAUGUUAUGCUUUUGUUUCCACAGGAAAUAAAAAGUUAUGGUUCUCUUCAAAAUUAAUAAAGAUCAGAUUUGAUCGGGGCAGACCUCCUGAAAAUCUUGACUACAGACAUGAAAAAUGAAACCCCAAAAGACUAUAGGACAGGUGACAUAUAUGCUGAUCCCUCUACUAUGGGGACAGAUCUGAGACUGGAUGGGACAUGAUAAAUCAUGUUGGCUACAGAGUCCUCAUGACUUAUUAUUACAUGCCAUUCUUUCAUAUGGCAUAGAUAGAGGUUUGGUUAUACAGUCCAAACAAACUUAUAAAGUUAACGGAUGCCUUUGUCUUGCCCAAACAUAAAACAAAAAAAAAUCAUCUUUAACUGACUUGUGCACACUGCACAUUCCAUACUUGUGUUAAUGCAGAUAUAUAUGUUACCUUUAAAAGUGUAUGUGUUUUCAGGGGGAAAAAAGGACCAGACACCAAUAAAGAUAAGUAUCCCUGGUGAUCCAGCCCCUCAGAAUGCCUCUGUUGCAGUUAUCUCAAAAUUCUAUAUCCAGAACAACUUCAAAGCUGCUAGCUGAGAUGGUCCAGCCUCCAGACUAUCCAGUCAAGACUUCAGGGUCCUCUAAAGAAGUCAUCACCCCCAGACAACAGGAAGCAGUCUAGAAAACAUGAUGCCCACAUUCCCAAGAGGUGGGUGAGACAUGUCUGCUCCUGGAAGCACAAUUUACUUCAAAAAAAGAUGAUGGGCAUCAAAGAACCUCCAUAUGGAAUUUGCUUUCAAUGUAGCAAAGCUAGCCAUUUGGGCAAGAAACUGCAAUUGCCUCAACUGCUGGCAGUGUGCUGUCCAAACUGGACAAGCAGGACACAAAAGAAAGCGACUGCUGAACUUUGCCAAGACAAGGUGGGACAGUCCUUCAAGAUUCCUGCUUCACAGAAAAGUCUGUCAGAUGUUCUAGGCCUGUAGGCCAAAGAUGGAUGCUCCAACAUUGCAGUGGAACCUUGGGUGACUGACCAGGCAGCCAGAUGUCUCUGUCAUUUCUAUAGUUUCGGAAGUUGUUUGCUCUACACUUCCUGUUUACUCAGGUAAUAUUAUAUCCUUCUCAGGUCUCUGAUGAGAUUAAAGACUAGAUAGUUAUAGUUUUAUAGUUUUCCUUGUUACCAAAUUCAAAAGAGAAACUUAUAUAAGAGAUGUAAAGUUUAUAAGGUUGAGAAAAAUGAAAGCUUAUGUUGUUUAUCUAAGAAGAUGUUUUAAGGUCUAAAAGGGUAUUUUUAGAAUGGUAAUAAAAGUUAUAAUAAAAAGUGGUUUAUGUCUAAAACUUUGGACUCAUCAAAAUAAAAUAGAUAAUAGAAUAAUUUCUCUAAAUUUGACAAAUACAAAUGGACGGACCAUUGUGAGCGUAUUUCUUACUUGAUAAUUGUUCUUAUUGUAUAUAAUUUUACUGUAUUAGCAUUAAAACCUUUCCUUUUUAUUUAGACAAAAAAGUGGAAAUGUUGUGGGAUAUUUGUUCACUGUGUGAAACUGUAUUGCUGUGAUUGUUGUAAUAAAAAGCUGGACAGCCAAUAGCUAGGCAGAAGGUAUAGGCAGGAUUUCCUGGGAGAGAAAGGAAGAGGAAGAGGAAUCUAGGCAUGCAGGAGAAGCCAGAAGACACAGAGAGAAAACAGAAGUUGCAAGAUGGAAGAGAGGUAAUGCCACGUGAUAGAAUGUAGAUUAAUAGAAACAGUUUAAUUAAGUUAUAAUAGUUAAGCCUUGCCGGGCGGUGGUGGUGCACGCCUUUAAUCUCAGCACUCAGGAGGCAGAGGCAGGUGGAUCUCUGUGAGUUCGAGGCCAGCCUGGGCUACAGAGUGAGUUCCAGGAAAGGCUCCAAAGCUACAUAGAAAAACCCUGUCUUGAAAAAAAAAAAAAAAGAGCUAAGCCUUAUAAGCCUAUACAUUGACACAGCCUAAGCUAAAGGUCAAGCUUUUAUAAUUAGUAAGAAGUCUCCAUGUUGUUAUUUGGGGUAGGUGGUAGAAAAGAAAGUCCAUCUAUCCAGGGUCCUUUACUGAAAGCAUGAAAGAUAAAAUACAUUUGUUUGCUUUUUUAAAGCCUCAAGAAUUAAAGUCUGUUAACUUAGGACAUCCUAAUUCACCCUGGGAAGGUGAUAGAUGAAAGGAUGGAGCUACACCACAGACUUAUGCCCAGAGCCCUCUCAACUCUGGUCUACUAGCAAUGUGAGAACUAGGCCUGGUGGUGAAUACCUCAGCUACUGGGAGUCGGAAACAGGAAGACUACCAGUUCAAGGCCAGCAAGCUGGGGGCCAACUGGAGCUGUCUAGUGAUUUCAAGGUCUGCCUAGGCUGCACAGGGGAUUCACAACCAGCCAAGACUAUAUAGCAAGACCUUUUGGCAAUCAGACAAAAACAACACCAACAAAACUGACCUUUUAUUUCUAGACAUGUGUACUCAUUUACCACCUCCUAAUUUCAUAAGCAAUGUAUAAAGGCAUUCUUGUUUUUCUGAAAAAUGAAGUCAUCAUAGAUGAAGUCAAAGUCCCCUUUCACAUGCACACUUUACCCCUACUCUCUCCCACAACCCAUCUAGGCCACUUUCCUUGCCAAAUCCCAAGACAAAAUCUGUUUUGAGUUUUGUGCAUAGCUUCCCAGAUAAAAAGGUAAAUUAAAAAAAUGGAUGCUUGACUUCAGGGCUGUCUAAUUCCAAACGGCACAGCUGACAAUCACUGCCUCACUUCAUCCUUCUCCCUUUCUCAUUCCCCUGUCACUUAGCUGGAGUUGGUUAUCACAUUCCAGACAGUGCUCAGAAUGGGGAUGAGCCAAGAUGGCUUGUGUUAAAAUGGAAUCAGCAGCCGCGCUCUCGAGAAAGCCUGGGGCUGGCCAACGUGUGCAAAAGUCCUCACUAAUUAAUCCAGACUGGACCAGGUCAAAGGAGGCAGACAUGGAAGUGAGCAAGGAAGCAAAUAUCACCAAAGGAUGCUGUUGGGAGAGGAUGUAAAACGGAGAGAAAAGACCCAGGCAGAGGGGCGGGACCUGGGCAAGGAACAGUCUGGUUCUCAGCCCAGGAGAGACUCCCCAAAGCAAAACAAACCCACAGACUGGCAGCCGAGCAGACCAUGAUCAAGGGCCAAAGAUAUCGUUCUCCCAGAGGAGCUACUUGUUCUGACCAGGGCUCGCUUCCACAGAAGCCUGCUGUACUGUUUGUGACACUGGAACCCAGAAACUCCUGUUGUCCCCUUAAAAGACUCAAAGCUUUUUCUGGGUUUCUGUGUUGGUCCCAAUGAUUACAGAGGACUCAGCAGGUUGGGGGAUGACGAACCACCGGAUUUCUGUCUGGUGCCACCUUGCAGAUGCACAGGGAGUUAUACCUCUUCAUACUCAUGCCUCCUGUCUCUAAGAGCACCACACUCCUUGGGCCUUCUCCUGGCAGGCAUUUGACAACUGCCUUUCUGUACUGGGUGUUCCAACUCUGCACGGUAGCUCCACCAGAAGCCAGGCCUUCUAGUCAAAUCUCCCUUUGGCAUUCUGGGUACAGGAAAGAAUAAGCAUCCUGUGUCUCCUGACAAGACUCCUACAAAGCUGCUACUGGUGGAGAGAAAAGGAGCUUGAGAUGGCUCACAGGAGCCACUGUCUGCCUGCCUGCCUGCCUUCCAUGAUCUGCCAAGUAGGCAGGCAGCUUCUGCAAGAGCUAACCUGAUAAUCACAGAAAGCAAGAGGGGAGAGCUGCCUCCUGCAUAGCCUUCCCAGACCCCAGAGUCUGAGCUUCUCUCCUGAGGCAACAGGGUUUCUCUAUGUUGCCCUGGUUGUCCUGGAACUCGCACUGUAGAACAGGCUAGCCUUGAACUCAGAGAUCCACCUGCGUCUGCUUCCGGAGUGCUGGGAUUACACCACCCUGCACUAUGUGAUGUAUUUUGUUUUUAUAUAAAAAAUAUAUAUACGGCUAUGUGGUAGUUGUUUGUUUGUUUUUUUUUUUUUUUUUGAGAUAACAAAAAUAUAGGGAUGGAAAACAGACUCAUGGUUGCCAGGGUUUGGGGACUGAGGUGAAAGUAGAAAGGAAGCAGCUGUGGUUGUUAGAGGAUGGUAUAAGAGACCCCGGUGGUGACCAGAUGACUGUCCUGUGUCUGCAGCAGGAGAUACACAGACCCGCACCUGACAACACACAGAACUUGUUGCACACGGGAGUGCUUGCUCAAAGCUGAUGAAAUCUGAUGGAUGUGGACAUAUUUCAUCAAUGUCAAUUUUCUGCUAGUAAUGCCGUUGUUACCAUUUGAGAGAAACGGAGGGAAGAGUGUUCAGAAGUACGUUUCCAGUGUCCAAGCAGCCUGGGGCAAUUUCAAGAAAAAUGCUUCCAAACCCUGAGGGCUGCAUUGUCCUCCCCACAAGGCAAGCCCGGGUCCUGAUGUAGUUCCUCUGGCUGCAUCAGAAGAUGCUCCAAAGCCACAGCCAAGCCCCUGCUCUGCAUCUGAGACUUGACCAUGAUGUCUAAGUCGUGGCAUCACUAAGGUGAGCAAGGGGGGCUGCUUACUGCCGCCUACUCCAUCUAUCCUCUCUUAGAUGUCUUUAUUGGAUCUAAGACUCUGAAGCCACUUGCCCUCUGAGGGGACUCCUUCCUGAACUAUCGUCGGAGGGCCUGCUAUGUUUUCUGCUCUGACUGCAAACGGAAUUCCUAAGGAUACACUACAUGGAAGGUUCCAGGUUCCGUUUUCAAUGUCAGAAAUAAAGCUAUCUCGGUAGACUCCUCUCUGCAUCCUUUUCACAUGGGUGAGAUGGUGCCAUUGCAUCAUCCUCUUUUAUUCUUUGAGCCGCUAUGCGGUUGCUGUGGCGUAAGUGGGCAGCUGCGAUACUAACAGAUGUAUUCAAAGAAGAGAGACUAAACUGUGAUCUUGGAGGUCCAUGGAAAGUAGCCUGUACAUGGGCAGCAGGAUCGAAUACACAAAUCAUACUAGAGUUUCAGUUUAUUUGCCUAAUGUGUUUGAAAAUGACUCAAUUUAUUGCAAACCAAGACUUGGGAAUCUCAGCUUCCAGGAUGGCAAACUAGUGUUAGUCUCCACAUAUUUCAUCAUUUUGCCUAAUUAAUUCCUCCCCAUGGCACACAAACAUCUCCAUCUACAACCAAACCAGUCUCUCUCUCUCUCUCUCUCUCUCUCUCUCUCUCUCUCUCUCUCUCUCUCUCUCUCUCUCUCUCUCUCAUUCCCUUCCCAUUGGCAUCAUAUAAAUGGUAUUCAGAAGGCGCAGAUGAUUCUCCCAAGUGUCUCUAGGCACUUGCUGAGGUUUCCUAUCAGUCAUUAUCAGGUGUCCAGUCCCAUGCUUCCCAAAGUCUUACUCAAAAGAAAAUCAAGAAAGGAGAAGUCCAGUCAUGGGAAACAAAUACAGUGCUGAUGAGAUGGGUUUUCCCAGUUCAGAUUAAACUAGGUGCAUCAGCUUGUGCUGCAAAGGACAGGGGAGGAAGAAACUAAUGAAGACUGGAUUUAGCAACAGAAGAAAAUUACUGACUCAUUUGCCUGAAAAAUCCACAGGUGGUUUUGGCUGUAGGUUUGUGUAAUCUCUCUCUCUCUCUCUCUCUCUCUCUCUCUCUCUCUCUCUCUCUCUCUCUCUCUCUCUCUCUCUCUCUCUUCAAGCAGUUCACCAAACACAGUUGUUUUCCCUAAGUCCAACUCUUCAUUCCAAAAUGCCGUGCAGAAGUUUCAAGGGCUAGAUGGUUCCAGCAAGAAAUAGACACUAGCCAUAUUUGUUCCCAACAAAAGCGCAAUGUGUUGCUUUAACUGGAUUGGCUAAUGUUGAAUGACCCUGUCACUAUAGCCAGAAAGGAAACGCACAACUUGUUAAAGUGGGUAGAGUCAUCAUUUCCAGCACAUCCUGAAAAAAAUGGGGAAUGUUAGGGAAAGAAAAUUAGUUGGGGGAAGAGUGGCAAGAAAGCAACCAACAUGUUAUAUUGGGUAGUUUUAUGUCUGCUUGACACAAGCUAGGGUCAUCAGAGAGGGAGAGUCUCAAUUGAGAAAAUGCCUCUAUAAGAUCAGUCUGUAGGCAAGCAUGUAAGACAUUUUCUUAAUUAGUGAUUGAUCGGGGAGGGCCUGACCUAUCUUAGGUGAGGCACCUUGGACAGGUGGUCCUGGGUGCUAUAAGAAAGCAGGCUGAGAAAGCAGCACCCCUCCAUGGCCUCUGCAUCAGCUCCUGCCUCCAGGUUCCUGCCCUGCUUGAGUUCCUGUCCUGACUUCCUUUGAUGAUGAACUGUGAUGGGAAAGCAUACAAUGAAUAAGCCCUUUCCUUCCCAAGUUGCUUGGUCCUGGUUUUUCAUCACAGGAAUAGUAACCCUAACUAAGACACAUAUUUACUGCAGUUGAAGAAGGCAAAGCUGAACUGAAGGGGGGGAUCUAAUUAUUGAAGACAUUCAACCUAUAUUUCUUUAAAAACAUCUUAUGCUGUAGUUAUAUUUCUUUCACACAUAUGCAUUAACUCAAAUUAGGCCUACGAAGUGCUGACAGGUACUCCCUUGAACGAAGAGAUUUGAUUGAUCGGCAAUUAGCCUCUCAAUUAUAUGUGCUUUAUUAUUUUUUUCAAGUAGGUACCUUAAAGGCGGCUGCUCUUUGAAGGUAAGCAUACCCAACCACCCACUCAGGAAAUGCAGCUCAUUUUUGUGGUUUGAAAUCAGGAGAUCACUGAGGUAAGAGGGAGCAAUGCCUACUAAUUACAGACAUGAAGGGCCACUCAAAGUGACCACCUUACAUGUCUUUCUUCACAGAACUCAAAGAAUGAAGGAAGAUGUAAGACCUGACUGAGAGAAUCUGGUGAUGAGCAGUGGAUGAGGGCAAAGGGCCCACAUUUCUACCAGACAAGCACUUGUAAGUUUUUUAACAAGGCUGCCAUCUUUAACAAUGUAAACAUAAUCUCAAUGUAUUUAUAAUUGUUGCUGUGGCAAAUCUUCCCUCAUCUAGAAAUUGCAAAGAGAGAGAUUGAUUCUUCAUGCUAUAGUGAAACUCCAAUAAUAUUAUAAACAGAGAUUGCAGGGAAGGAUGCACCUGAUUGUCUUGCUUGCCCAGGGCAGACAUAACUAAUCAAUCAAUGUUUACUCUUCUUCUAAGCUUCUUAGAAAUGACUUUACAGUCUUUCUUAACAAAAUGCCCCUGGGAGCACUAGCCAUUGAUCAGACUUGGAAGUUAAGAUAAAACCAUCUUGACAUAGCACAUCUCAGCUGAUUCUUUCUCAUUUUCCUUUCCUUGGAUGGUUCUCCUAAGGACACAAUACAUUUGAUGGCUAAACUCAGUGUCCUCUGUGAACCUUCUUUCUUUUGAGGUAAUUGUCUCUCUUCCUGGCUCUUAUGGGAUCAUUUUCCUCAAGGACUAAAUGUUGUUUCUUUUACACUUUAAUUGGAUGUAUUUAUUGUGGGUUCAUGUGUGUGUUUGUGUGUGUGUGUGUGUGUGUGUGUGUGUGUGUGUGUGUGUGCGCUCAAGAGUGCACAGGUGCACAUGCAUGCAUGUGUCAAGUGCCAUGGUAAGUGGGUGAAGGCCUGAGGGUAAUUUGCAGUCGUCAGUUCUCUCCUUCUAGCAUGUACGUCCCUGGGGUUGGACUCAGUCAUCAGGCUUGGCAACAGGUACCUUUACCCAUCAGUCCCCCAAGGACUAUUUUUAAGCAUACCCAUUUAUUCUCUAGCCUCUCCUUGUGUGGCUGUCGGGGACAAGCAGCGAUGAGUUAAUCUGAACUUCUUCUCAGUAUCCAUCAUCCAUCCCCUUUUGGCAGAAAGGUCCUUGCCCCUGCCCUCCAUAACAGAAUAAGUGUACAUUUCCUUCUGAAGACCUUCCUCAUAGUAAGUAAGUACAUCUAGCUUUCCAUGCUGUUCAGGGCUUUCUAUAUUUAAUGUGUGCCUAUCAUUUCUCAGCAUGGAGUCAGUGUUCCACCUGCAUCAACAUUUGCUAGUGUGGUGUGGAGGGGGGAGAGUGUCCUUAUUAAAAAUGCCAUUUCCAGCCCUUUCUCUGGAACCAUGAAUCAGAAUUUCUCAUCUGAUUUUUUAAUUGAUUUCCUGAGGUGAUUUCACGAAUCUAUUCAAGUUUGAAAAUACCUGCUCUAAGAGAAAGGUUGGAGGAAAAUCAUAGUGAGUCUAUCUAAACAGGAGCCUUAAAAGGUUUUAACAAUGGUAUUCUCCCAAGCUCUAUUGAUUUUUAGGGGGUGGGUCUGUGUCUGAUCCUUCCUAAGCCAUCACUGACUCAUAUCUUGCGGUUCUUUUCUUCAGAAAGUCAGGAGAGAACAUGGCCAGAUUAAGAGGUAGGUCAAAGGAAUAUUUGUGCUAGGCGCCAGCCCAACAUGGUCACUCAGACAUCACUGAAAAUAAUACAAGGUCUGAGAACAUUGUACUUACUGGAAACUCAGAAAGGAAUGUGUCAGUAGGAAGGAAUAACUUGAUAAUCUGCUGGAGGAGGAAACAUCUAAUAAGCUCGUCUGAAUAUUAACAAAAACAACAGGAAAGAUCUAGGGCCAUCUAAAAAGACUACAUGUGCGAAUCAUGAGGCUUUGAUUUUUCUGCAUGGAAUGUUUCAAGUUUGGGUCAGUUCAAUGAUCCAAUGUAUUGUAAGGACUGGGUUCCCAAUGUCUGUGGCCUUCCUUGAUUGCUUAACUACCCGUAUGGUCAAGUGUUCUUCUCAAUUAAUGGAUCAACAAAUACACAAAAUACAUCAGUUUUAAGAGAGACCAACAUUUUGUCCCUCUCAGGAACUUCAGUACUUCUGGUCCUGUCAAAACCGGCUGAUCCCUUGCUGUUACAUCAUCCAUCUUGAUAGGGUUUUUUUUGUUGUUGUUGUUGUUUUGUUUUUUUCUACUUAGUCUCGAUGCCAUUCCCUCAAAUGUUAGCUUAGACUUUAGAGACCGGAGGAUUAGUGCAUUAAAAAUAGAAAGAGAACCAAUUAAGCCCCUACUCUCUAAAUAAGGGUUAUUUGCAUCUGUGAGGGAACUCUGACAAGCGUGACAAGCAACCGAAUUAAUGAAAGUCUCAUGGCUUCUAGAAAAGUGGAAUCAGGCCAUUUGCUGACACCUCUCUCUCCUAGCAGGGACCUUUGAACUCAGUCUAGAGCCUGGCAGGGGCCAUUGCCCAAUUCCUAUUACAUUCCAAAGGUGUAUCUCUUACCUUCAACACAAUCAAGCAAAAAGAUAGCUAGUAUUCUGGCACUUUCUUGUUUCACUCAAAGGGCCUGCAAUAUAUAACAUAAACUCCUCGGGUUCACAGAACAUCAAGGACUUAGCUGUAGAACUUUCAUCCUGAGGGUACAAUCAUAUGUCCUCUCACUAUCUGUACUGUCUGUUCCACUACUCAUGUCUGUAUGUGAGAAACAGGACCAGAUUCAACUCUAUUAGACAAAGCAGCACUUUCUCCUGGAGAUUUUCAUUGCAGUAUACUUUUUGGAUGAAUUUCCCCUAGAUAAUUAUUUGUAUAAAAUAUUAGUAGACAAGGGACACUCUUCGCUUGUUCAGUGCUCCUAACACUAUCCAAAAUGAAGAUGGAAGUAAAUAAAAUACAUAAUGAGCCUUCUUACCAUUGUGUUCUGUUUUAGAAUUCAUUAGGCUUCUGAUUCAAGAUGGCAGUCUGAGCUGAGCAUACACUACUACGAUUUCUUCCCAGGAUUGGCUGGAAAUCACACACACACACACACACACACACACACACACACACACACACACACACACCCCACAGAGCACACAUGGGGACAUAGAAGUGGAUUACUAACACUUAAAUUUUGAGGGCUUCAUGGAGGGUGUCUGAUUUUAUCCAAUAGAUAGAAAUAAAGUGAACAUAUAACAGUCAGAGCACAAGAGCCAAGCUCAGGAGCUUUCAAAGACAAAAGGAAGGACAAGUUAAUGCUUUUAAAUGGAAGAACAGACUUAGCAUUCAUACUCAAGUCUUCUAUAGAAAGACUAUGUUUUAACCCUCCCAAGGGGUUCUUACCUCCAAAAGAGAGUUGAUGGCAGCUACUAUUGUAUUCUGGAAAAAGUAGCUUGAAAAGAUUUCAUGAUGAAAGUUGUCACUUUGUUGCAAUGAAAAAUAUGUAACAAUAAAUUAUUGCUUUGAAAAAUAUCACUUUAAAAGAUAAUGCCUAGGACAAUGGCUUAUUAACAAUCUUACCUUUUUGUCGGUUGACUGGGCUCAGCUUAGUGGUUUUCUCCAUCAGGUCCAGGCAGAGAUGAAAUGAGGCUGGUGGAGUCAGUUUCCUCGUUCGUGUGCCUGGGAGCAAGCCAUUCAAGUAUCUAGAAAAUCUGUAGUCUGGUCAUCUUUCAUCUCUGUACAACUAACUCCCUGUGGCUGCUUGGGCUUCCUCACACUAUGGUGGUCUUUGGAUAGUUGGGUUCUUUACAUGCCAGAUGGAUUCUCCAUAGUAAGUGUUCUAAGACACAGGGAGGGAGAGUUGACUGAGACCCAGAACUGAUAGCAUCACUUUGGUUGUAUUCUGAAUCAAAAUGAUUACAGAGCCUCCCAGACUCAAAGAAAGAGGCAUCAAAUGCCAGCCCUCAGUGACAAAAGCAGACAAAUGGUUAUCAUAGCCUUAUCUAUACUUGGAGAUUUCUAGAAAGGGAGUUAAGGAAAUAGCAAGACAAAUAGCAAAGGAGUGCCCCUCCCAAAAGCACUUGGCACGGGCAAUUAUGGGGAUCUUCAACCUUUCCCUGUUCCUGGUCCCCCACACAGUCCAAGGCAGGCUGUCAUAUUUGCGGGUUGUAGUCUUAUAUUUAGUCUUUCUCUUUAAGGAAGAGGCCUUUUGUGAAAGAAACAUGGACAACUGUUGAGAAAAAUGUACAUCACCUACCUAUACGUGUCAUUUAAGUUACAGCACUUGCUGAAAAAGAUUGCAAGGCAUGAGAAAAAAAAAUAAAGUACCAGGAAAAAGAAAUGGAAGGAUCAGUGGAAACUCAAUCAUCUCAGAAGAGAAGAAAAAGAUAUAAUCUGUAGGAAGAAGGUUAGAAUUAUUUUAAAAUAUUCAGAUCUCUGCUGAUUGGCUUGAAAAUAUUUGUAACUACAGAUUAAGACUAAUGCCUUUUGAAAAGACAUUAACCCAAAAAUAUUUUAAACCUGGUAGAACAUUUAACAAGAAGGAAUUUUGAAAUUAAAUCACUAUGGAAUUUAGAUUUCACCAGAUGGAGGCGAAAACUGGACAAGGAUGAUGACCAAGUUGUUGAAUAGAAAGUAAGGUCAAGAAUCUUAGAACUUGGAGCAAAAAGGAAAGCAAAAUGUACACAUGGAAACUGCGGAGGCACAUGUAGCAAACCUCAGAGACUAAGACCAAUCUAAAAGACUUUCUAGGAAGAAAAGGAGGAAUCAAAAAAUUUAAAAUGAUUAGAGAAAUUAAACACAACAAUAAAUCCCUGGAGCUGACAGACAAUGGACUCUUAAAGACAAUGUCUACUGAGAAUAAAGUAGAACAUAUAAGAAAAUGCCACACCUAGAGACCCACCGAGCAAAGACUUCCUAACUUACAUGAUAAAACAAAUUUCCUCAAAGCUUCUAGAGAUACAAAGAGGAAAAAACUCAGGGAAAGAUAAAUAGACCAACAGCCAUUUCUGAUCAGGAGCACUAGGUUCUAGGCAGAAAAUCAAUAGUAUAACUCAAAUUUCCAAGGAGACAUUGUUUUGGAUUCUAUACCCAGCCAAGCUAUCAACAACAUUUAAGGACAAGAACAACAAAGACCUUCAUGGAUAAAUAAGGACCCAAUCGGUAUGUGUUUUUAUUUCUUAUCUGUGAAGAACCUAUUUCCUCAUAGAGAAGAAGUCCUCCCAUAAAACAAUGGGCAAAUACAGGAGAAAGGCUGGCAUGGAAAACACAUAGUUAGGAAAGCUGAGGACUAGAAGGAGAGGUAACAUACAAGGCUUUUAAAAAUAGUGUGCUUGGGAAGAAAAGAUUGACAAGUGAGAGCUUCCAAACUUUUAGAAGUUUAUAGUAAUAAAAAUAAGGCCCAAGGAGUAGCAAACCAAAAAAAAAUUACUUGUAUCAUGUAUGACAAGGAAUUAUAAUGUAUGAAGUGUUUUUAUAAGACAAUUUUCAAACUAGAAAUGGAAAGAUGGGUAUCACAAAUGAGAAAGCUGCAAAAGGAAAAAGUAAAUGGGGCCAGAUAACCAAUGUCAUUCCCUCUGUUUCCUCCUAGAAGUUCAGUCUGAAAUCUUAAUUCCACCCUGGUGUGUGAAGUACCAGGUGUUAAAUUAGCUGCAAGAAUUUCUCCAGCUUUCCAAGUCUGCAGGAGAAACAUGCUAAUGAGGACUGAAGGAAAUUAAUGGAAGAGAGUCCAGGAGGCUGGGAGGAAAGUUCAGCACCGCUUCCUACAUCGGGGAUUUUUAGAGAGGCGCCUUCAAUUUACCACAAGCCAAGAGCUCAUGAGUAAAAUACAGAAGUGUUUGAAUCUACACCCUUAAGCAUUUCCUUCUGACACACAGGAUUGAAGUCUGCUGUAGGUAAUAUCGGCAUCUGAGGAUCUCAUACAGGAAGCGGGAAACAUAGAGGAGGAUCCCGACAGCACCCCUACACCUGCACCCCUUAAGACUGUAGAACAAGAAGACAGGCACAAGCUAUUAUAAGAAUUUUGGCUUAAGUGUGAAAGAUGAGUCUAACGACAAGUUUUCAACAAACGAAAGAACCACAGUUUAGCCUGAUCAAAUGUCUAUUUCACACAUGAAAAACUAAGACACAGAAAGACUAAAGAUGGUCUGAACACAAGCAUUAUGGUUUGUGACAAUGUUGAGACUUGAAUUUGUGUCUAGGUACCAAAUGUACUAAGCCAUCUUGAUGGUAACAAAGACACGCAUAAGGGUGUUAUGUGAACGCUCAUGCUAUUCCUGUGGAAUCAGUGACCAGAGGGUAGUGAUUGUUAUGGGGGUGACCCAAGGGCCAUGAUUCAUGCCUUUAUUCGUAUUCCAGUAAAUUGGGCUGAUAGUCAUCUACUGAAUGCCUGCUAUACUAGAGUCCUAGAGAAUUCAUCAUUGACCAAGGGAGAUGAAUGACUGAUACACAAACAAAUGUUAUCCAGAGUGAUAAAUAUUAAUCAAAAUACUAAGCGAACAGUGGCAGGGGAACAGUUCAUUCUGCCCAGGCACAGGAGAGUGAGGAGACAUCCAGCAGACAGUGAGGAAGGAUGACAAUUUUGUUUGUUUAAUGAGAUGUAUUCUUAUUUGAAUUGCCUCUUUGAAUGAUACAGUGUUUAUGAAGAAAAAAAUGGCAGAAGUGUGAAAUUAUGAACAAAAGCAGGCCCCAGAAGGAGCUCGGUAAGUCUGGGGAAUGGUAGGUAAAAGUUUGGAGGAACUGGCUGUAUUAGUAUCAGCUGGGUUGAUAAACAUCUAGGACAUGGAGGAUUCUGUUCUACACAUUACAGCAAGAUAAUGGAGGCCAUUUAGGAUGGGUGGGACUGGAUCAGAUUUGGGGUUUGGAAAAUUAUUCCAUGGGUGGUUUCCAGGAUGGAUGUAAAAGGAAGACUAUAUUCUAAAAGUCUAUAAGUCAAUAAAAAACCAUUGUAAUAUUGUACAGGAAAAUAAACACCUGCUAGAGUUGU